GAACAAUAAAGCAGAGUCAAGAUUGUUUGGUCAGUGUGGAAAUGUGCAAGUUUUCUGAGGCAGUGAAGGCACUGAUGGCCAUUUUUGCAGACAGACUUGCAGUUUUCUUCAAAGUUAUAUGUUUCGUAAAUUAUGAUCCCAAGAUCUGUUCGCUUGGUUUAAGGACUCCUCACACCACUGUACAAAGUCAUCAAUAACUGGAUCAUGACUGGUUUCACCCUUUCUGAAUCAGAAUUUGUUUAUAGGAGAUGGCCUUGAAGCAGGCAGAGGAGAAGCGAGUCAACCGAAACCGCACCAGGAGGAACGGAGGGUCGCUCCACGUAUCAAGACAAUAUGACCUAGAUAGUAUGCAACUCUGUUACAGCGUAAAAUACUGGGAAACGUAGGGAGUCUGAUUCUGCUUGAACUGACUGAACACUCUGUUGUUGGUUGGGGAAAGGGACUCCGACCCAGAAUCCUGUAUUGCACAUUUAAUCUUGGGUUAAUAAAUACUCUUUGGACUUAAUAAGAACUUUCCUGACUACUCCAUCAAAAGAACCGGAGGAAACAGCCUCACACAUAUAUUUUCUGUUUUCUGUGAUUGGUUGUAGGAUAGGCUGAUUUCCAACAUCUGACAGACUUUUGUAGAGGAUGAAUAAUAAAAGACACAGCACACACCCUUGUGGAAACCCCGUGGAGGAGAACGCUGGGUCAGACAGAAACCCGUUUAUUCUCACUCUUUGUGACGUGUCAGUUGAAAAGCCUAAAAUCCAGUCCAACAGAUUUUUGCUGAUGUCAAACCGUUCUAAAAGUCUUUUGGUUAAAAUGUGGGACUGGAUUGUGUUAAACAAAAGUCUUGCAAAUGUCCCUUUACUCUCCACAUUUAAAAAUCCUGUUUAGUAAAGUCAAUCCACUUGUCUGUUGGGUCUGUAUGCAAACUGCAUUGGAUCCAGCUCAUGUUCAGUCUCCCUCAGGAUCACAUUCCUAACAAGUUUUUCAAAGACUUUCAUCCUGACUGAAGUGUCAGGAUGAAAUGACUUCAACAUGCCUGAAGUCAUUCAAAGCUUUUGGAUGACUGGAUUUAGGGACAGGGACGAUUACGGCAUCUUUCCUAAGGGAGGUCACAUGCUGUGUUUGCGAGUGUAACAGGUGUGUUAGACAAGCUAUUCAUUUCAUCCAAAAUCCCCCCAUUGUUUUUGUUUACAUUGUUGUUUAAUUUAUUUUGCUUAGGAUGUCAUUGUUAUUGUGUAUUGAUUUAUUAAUUUUUCUUGGGGAGCUUUAUUUUAUUUCGAUGUUGUGACUUUUACUCUCACCAUAUUUCUGUGACCUUUACCCUUUUAUGAUGUCACUUCCUGUCUGUUUGCACUCCUUUCUUCAGAUGGUCUGUGAAUCUGAUAGGAACGGUUGAGCGAACAGAGAGCGCUUUACAUUUGUAGCUUUAGAUCCAGGAGAAACGUGUUUGAAUGUGGUUUAAAGCUUGUUUUAUUAUUUCUGAUUUAUUUUGUUUAAUGUCUGAAUUUUAUGUUGUUGGUUUUAGUUGUAGAGUACAGCAAAUUAGAGAGGACUGAGGCUAGCUGGUGAGGGUGUGUGGUUUCUCAUGCAGUACGUUUUCUUCUCUUCUUUAGAGUGGCUAGUGUGACACCUCGUGGUUGCUGUACCAAAAUGGUUUUAUUUUCAUCAGGAACGGGAAGAGAAAUAAAUCAGCUGGCAUGCAAGAAAGUGGUCUGCCAUCAUCAUUCCCCACACAUAACGCAAAGGAAAGAGGAUCAGAGAGUUAGACCAGACCGGCUGCACAAGGACUUCUUAAAAAUAACCUGAAAUACAGGACUGAGUUCUUUAGUACAAGAUUUAAUAAGCAACCACUGCUGUUGUCAGGAUUGUGGCAUUUGUUCACCUUCAUGGUACGAAAGGUCUUUCUGAAAUUGCUGAGUUCAGUGGUAAAGUGCUGAGUGUCCUUCAGUUCCAAAAUGUUCUUGCUAAAAUCAGAAAAUGUCUAAAAUGAUCUGGCUGCUGCUCUGGGGAUUUUGAAGGCCUGCAAUGGUUUUCAUACAUGUCCAGGAAGAAACAAGAUUGUUUGCAGCCAUUUUGCUUUCAAGAAGGGUUUUUUAGCUGUUUUGCUUUCAGAAUCUCAAUUUUCAAGUCUUUGGUGGCUGACUGAAGGACAGAGACAGGCCCAUUUUUGAAAGCCUGUUUCUUUUUAUUCAGACAGGAUCUGAUGUUUUUGCUGACCCAUGGCUUGUUGUUGGGGUACACUUCAACAUGCUUACAGGUAAUAGCUGGUGACAUGCACCAGAGCAUCAAGAUCAUCCCCACAGGACUGGAUAAAAACAGCCCAAUAUUCCUGCAGGGAGAGCACAGGUUCUUCUGACAACAUCUCAUUGUCCUUAGUCUUUAUCUUCUCUCCUUCUGAAACAGUCACAUAGAUGGGCAGGAGGUACACGCAGUUAUGGUCAGCAAAACCCAAAGGAGGAAGAAGGAGGGAUUUAGAAGCAUUUUUCACCUAUCCAUAAUAAAGGUCCAUUAUUUUAUCCUGUCUGGUAGAACAGGACACAUACUAGUAAAAGUUUUUCAGGGUUGUUAUAAGAGAGUCGUGGUUAA